AUUGAACGCUGGCGGCAUGCCUUACACAUGCAAGUCGAACGGCAGCACGGGUGCUUGCACCUGGUGGCGAGUGGCGAACGGGUGAGUAAUACAUCGGAACAUGUCCUGUAGUGGGGGAUAGCCCGGCGAAAGCCGGAUUAAUACCGCAUACGAUCUACGGAUGAAAGCGGGGGACCGUCGGGCCUCGCGCUAUAGGGUUGGCCGAUGGCUGAUUAGCUAGUUGGUGGGGUAAAGGCCUGCCAAGGCGACGAUCAGUAGCUGGUCUGAGAGGACGACCAGCCACACUGGGACUGAGACACGGCCCAGACUCCUACGGGAGGCAGCAGUGGGGAAUUUUGGACAAUGGGCGAAAGCCUGAUCCAGCAAUGCCGCGUGUGUGAAGAAGGCCUUCGGGUUGUAAAGCACUUUUGUCCGGAAAGAAAUCCUUGGCCCUAAUACGGUCGGGGGAUGACGGUACCGGAAGAAUAAGCACCGGCUAACUACGUG
rnacentral:rRNA from 1 species